AGUGAACGCUGGCGGUAUGCUUAACACAUGCAAGUCGAACGGCAGCACCCUAAUAGCUUGCUCUUACGGGUGCCGAGUGGCGGACGGCUCAGGAAUACAUCGCCAUCUACUUUUUCGUGGGGGUUAACGUCUGGAAACUUACGCUAAUAUCGCAUACCACCUCCGGGUGAAAGCAGGGGAUCUUCAGACCUUGCGCGUUUGCAUGAGCCGAUGUCGGAUUAGCUAGUUGGCGGGGUAAAGGUCCACCACGGCGACGAUCCGUAGCUGGUCUGAGAGGAUGAUCAGCCACACGGGAACUGAGACACGGACCAGACGCCUACGGGAGGGAGCAGUGGGGAAUAUGGGACAAUGGGCGCAAGCCUGAUCCAGCGAUACCGAGUGGGUGAAGAAGGCCUUCGGGUUGUAAAGCCCGUUUGUGGGGAAAGAAACGCAGUCGGUUAAGACGAAGCGGUACUGACGGUACCUGAAGAAUAAGCACCGGCUAACUACGUG
rnacentral:rRNA from 1 species